GGAAGGCACACCUUUGUGUCCAGAUCCCAACAGGGCCCGGGACACAAAAGGUGCUGAAGUUUGUUGACUGGCUAAACGGAGUGAGCCGCAAGAGCGCCCAUUAUGUACCAUGCGCUUUCCACUGUGACAUUAUUACAUCCUCCCAGGGAGCCCCCAAAGGCGGAUACUGAGGCUUUGAAAGAUGAAACAAUUAGACUCAGGUCAUCAGCGUCACAGCUAUUCAGCAUAGACCACUUGGUACCAUGUGAACCUGACCUCCAAAUGAGGCAGUCACUGGUGGCUGUCAUUGAGUUGAGUGAGUAUAUCUGCCACCACGGUGUUUGCUACCACUGAGGAACGGACCUAACGACUGCCAUGUCAACAGUGCCACAGGAUCUUCUUUGUACCCCUGUCAAGGACUGGGAAGGGGCUGAGAUUGCCCUCUACGUGCAGACUAAGAAGUGACCCCACCAUUGUUUUGUGCAUGCUGGCAGAAGACACGAGAUUCUUGGAUCAGAGACAAAGGACUUCAUUACUCAUGGCAUAGUAAACAGUGUGAUCAUCAGCCUA